rnacentral:rRNA from 1 species
UGAGGAAGUAAAAGUCGUAACAAGGUUUCCGUAGGUGAACCUGCGGAAGGAUCAUUACAGAGAGGAGCUUCGCGCUCCAGGGGGUUCGCCUCCGCCUCUCAACCCUGUGUAAAUCAUACCUCUGUUGCUUUGGCGGGCCUUGAGGUCAUGCUCAUGCCGGACGAACGCCCGGCGAGUGCCCGCCCGAAGCCCUCCAAAAUUCGUUUUAAUCUUUGCUGUCAGAGUCGAAACAAAAAAUAAAAGCAAAACUUUCAACAACGGAUCUCUUGGUUCUGGCAUCGAUGAAGAACGCAGCGAAAUGCGAUAAGUAAUGUGAAUUGCAGAAUUCAGUGAAUCAUCGAAUCUUUGAACGCACAUUGCGCCCCUCGGUAUUCCGGGGGGCAUACCUGUUCGAGCGUCAUUGCACCCCUCAAGCGUAGCUUGGUAUUGGGCCUCGCUCCCUCCAAAGGGGCGUGCCUGAAAAGCAGUGGCGGUCCGGCGCGGCCUUGAACGUAGUACAUUUUCUCCCGUUCUGAAGGUCUGCGUCGCGGCUUGCCAGAAUCGCCUUAUUUUUUUCAAGAAUUGACCUCGGAUCAGGUAGGGAUACCCGCUGAACUUAAGCAUAUCAUA